AGAGAAAUCACCCAAACCCAGCCACAAAACCCUAGCACUGUAAGCCUACACCACCGCCACAAGGAGUGGCAUACUGUCGCCGUCCGUCGCACUCAAAGUUCGCCAUCCGUCAUCUAGCUUCCCUCGUGCUCCAAAUCUUCAACCCCUGUUCGCUGUCACCGAUCGCGGUUGCUUCCUCGAGCUCGGCGUCCGUGUUCUUCUGGUAAAUUUUUUAACUGUUAUUGUGAACUUGUUAAUUUGCUAAUGGUUCUUGUGUUCUUGUGUUACUUUUAUUUUUUUUUGUUUUGUUGUGAUUUUCUGUUCUUGAAUUUGUUAAGUUGAUUUGCUAAAUUGUUGGGCUGCUGUUGUUUUAAUUUGUCAAAUUGUUUGGUUGCUGCGACUUAAUUUGUUGGAUUUUCUAUUUAGGUCUUGUUCUUGUUUAUUUGCUAAAUUGUUGUUGUGUAUUUAUUGUUUAUUUGCUGGAUAUUGGUGAUCAUUGUCUUUGAGAUUAUUUACUAUGCAGGUUUAGUGUCAUCACUGUUUUGGAAUGUUUUAUAAUGUACUAAUGUUUGUUGCUGUUUUGUAAUUGCUGGUUGCAAGUUUAGUGUGAUUAUUGGUUAAUGUUUUGGUUUAGUGUUCUCUCUUUUCCAGAUUUCCCUUCUCCCUGUAUUUCUGCAUGUUGCUGAAUUGGUAAUCAAUAAAUUUGCCUUUUUGCUGUAACUCGGGACUUUACUAGGAUUUGUUAAAUUUGUUGCUGAAUUUGUUGCUUCCCAGUCACAGAAUCAGAACAGAAUGCUCAGUCAGUGUUUGAUUGAUUGGCUUUGCUCACCGAUUGUAUUUGAUGAUAAAUUUUAAAUUGAUAACUUUUAAAUUUUAAAUUUGCCCUGCCCAUGUUACUGAUUCACUGUUCUUUCAGUGCUUUUUGUUGUUGUUAAUCAUUGUAAUAAGCUUUGUUAAAAUUUGCACUGCCUAUAUUACUGAGUGUUCUUUCAGUGCUUUUUGUUGUUGUUAAUCAUUGUGGUGAACUUUGUUAAAAUUUGCACCGCCUAUGUUACUGAGUCACGGAUUCAUCCCUCUCGUCAUUAUCAUUGGCAUGAACUCCGAACCAUUGGCAUGAACUCCGAACCGAAGCCCCAACUCUCUGGAUAAAAUUGUAAUGAAAGCUUAUUGGGACUUUUUCUUCUACUUAAGGUAUGAAUCAGAAUGAUGAGGCCAAGUUGUGAAUACACAAGUGUCAACGGACUAUAACAUAUAUUGAAUUUGUGACAUUAGAAGGGUGUAAUAAUAACAAUAAUGGAGUCAUGUUACUUGAAUAUUGAGGUUUAACAUUUAAACUCUCAGCUUCUCAGCCCUGUUUGAUUCUUCAUCUCAGGCAAUUGAAUCGAAUCAACCAGGCCUUCCUUUUCUUUUUCAUUUAGUUGAUUCUUAAUUUUUCUAAUAUAUGUAACUUUCUGAAUCAAGUGGAUCAGAUUAUGUAAUUUUCUUGAUUUGGGAUAUUUUCGAAGACGCAUUAGAAGAGCUAUUUUAUUAUUAUGUUUGCUAUAAUAAUAUUCACAUGUUCUGUAUGCUUGUGAUUGUUUCGGUG
rnacentral:lncRNA from 1 species